GGACUACAGGGGUAUCUAAUCCUGUUUGCUCCCCACGCUUUCGUGUCUCAGCGUCAGUAUUCGUCCAGUUGGCCGCCUUCGCCACCGGUGUUCCUCUCGAUAUCUACGAAUUUCACCUCUACACCGAGAAUUCCACCAACCUCUCCGAUACUCGAGCCACGCAGUUUCAAGUGCACUUCCUGGGUUGAGCCCAGGGCUUUCACACCUGACUUGCGUGGCCGCCUACACACGCUUUACGCCCAGUAAUUCCGAACAACGUUUGCACCCUCUGUCUUACCGCGGCUGCUGGCAC
rnacentral:rRNA from 1 species